rnacentral:rRNA from 1 species
AGGUAGUAAAUAAAACCUAUUUAUUUUGAUGGCUUUACAUCUUAAUAGAGGAACUUGUUUAAUAAUCGAUAUUCCACGAUAAUUUUUACUUAAAUAAACAAUUUAUAUACCGCCAUCUAAAGAAUUAAUUAAUAAAUUUUCUCUAAAUAAUAAUUAAAAAGUUAGGUCAAGGUGUAAUCUAUAUUAAAGUUCAAAUGAGUUACACUAAAUAAAAUUUAAGAAGUAAAUAAUUAUAAAUAUUUAUAAAAAAGAAUUUAUAUGUAUUAUUAUAAUAAUAAUUUACUUUGAGUAAGAUUAUUAAAGUGU